GAGAACCCGGAAAAGAAGGCGAGCAGUGGCAAUCAACACAAGUGUGUGGAACGGACCGAUGUAAAGUGUGUCAACACAAUUCUGUCUAGGCGUCGGACUACACGCAAGCAAUGUCAACGUCAAAAGGUGAGCUGGAAUCUGUCCCGGUUGACUUUAAGGUACACCCUGAACUGGUUGUCAGCCAACAUCAAGGCACAUAUAUAUACAACCAUUUACAUUCACACCCAUGGACAAAUUAGAGUCUUCAAAGUACCGAGCGUACACGUUAGUCGAAUGUUGGAGGAAGCCGGAGUGCAUGCCGACAGUUGAAGCCUGAACCGCAAAGUUGUGAAGCAGUGGGCCAAACUGCUACUUCAUAGCAUUAUCGUUUACAAUUCCUUGUGCAUCACUUAUACUUCAAAUCACAAAAACAUCUGACAUCCGCUGUUUUUUUUCCAGCUUGAGACUCACUACGGCUCAGUCCGUGUGCUUUGUCAGGUCAGGGAGGAUAUAACUCUCCAGCAGGGGAUGUACAGUAAAGAUGGUAGAGGCUUCCAGUUUCACGGGGGAGGGGGGAGCGCGUUCCUCCAUCAUGUUGACUGAUGCUUGCCGCUUUCAUAACACAAAGCUUGGCAAAGCUGCGGCGGGUGUUAAAGACAUUAAGGACCAAACUUUCAAGACAUCAAGGACCAAACUUUCAAGGCUAAACAAUACAUUGUGAUCUUCUUUCUAGUUUAACUGCCAAACAAGACCAGUCAGUCUGCCUGGACAGGUUACACUUCACUCUCACUCACUUUCUCCUGUGGGUUUACAAAUCAUUUUAAUCGUUCAAAUCAAAAUAAGUCAUGU